AUUGAACGCUGGCGGCAGGCCUAACACAUGCAAGUCGAGCGGAUGAAGGGAGCUUGCUCCUGGAUUCAGCGGCGGACGGGUGAGUAAUGCCUAGGAAUCUGCCUGGUAGUGGGGGAUAACGUCCGGAAACGGGCGCUAAUACCGCAUACGUCCUGAGGGAGAAAGGGGGGGAUCUUCGGACCUCACGCUAUCAGAUGAGCCUAGGUCGGAUUAGCUAGUUGGUGGGGUAAAGGCCUACCAAGGCGACGAUCCGUAACUGGUCUGAGAGGAUGAUCUGUCACACUGGAACUGAGACACGGUCCAGACUCCUACGGGAGGCAGCAGUGGGGAAUAUUGGACAAUGGGCGAAAGCCUGAUCCAGCCAUGCCGCGUGUGUGAAGAAGGUCUUCGGAUUGUAAAGCACUUUAAGUUGGGAGGAAGGGCAGUAAGUUAAUACCUUGCUGUUUUGACGUUACCAACAGAAUAAGCACCGGCUAACUUCGUG
rnacentral:rRNA from 1 species